UGGGGAAUUUUGGACAAUGGGCGAAAGCCUGAUCCAGCAAUGCCGCGUGUGUGAAGAAGGCCUUCGGGUUGUAAAGCACUUUUGUCCGGAAAGAAAUCCUUGGCUCUAAUACAGUCGGGGGAUGACGGUACCGGAAGAAUAAGCACCGGCUAACUACGUGCCAGCAGCCGCGGUAAUACGUAGGGUGCAAGCGUUAAUCGGAAUUACUGGGCGUAAAGCGUGCGCAGGCGGUUUGCUAAGACCGAUGUGAAAUCCCCGGGCUCAACCUGGGAACUGCAUUGGUGACUGGCAGGCUAGAGUAUGGCAGAGGGGGGUAGAAUUCCACGUGUAGCAGUGAAAUGCGUAGAGAUGUGGAGGAAUACCGAUGGCGAAGGCAGCCCCCUGGGCCAAUACUGACGCUCAUGCACGAAAGCGUGGGGAGCAAACAGGAUUAGAUACCCUGGUAGUCCACGCCCUAAACGAUGUCAACUAGUUGUUGGGGAUUCAUUUCCUUAGUAACGUAGCUAACGCGUGAAGUUGACCGCCUGGGGAGUACGGUCGCAAGAUUAAAACUCAAAUGAAUUGA
rnacentral:rRNA from 1 species